rnacentral:rRNA from 1 species
CCUACGGGAGGCAGCAGUGGGGAAUAUUGGGCAAUGGGCGCAAGCCUGACCCAGCAACGCCGCGUGAAGGAAGAAGGCUUUCGGGUUGUAAACUUCUUUUGUCAGGGAAGAGUAGAAGACGGUACCUGACGAAUAAGCCACGGGUAACUACGUGCCAGCAGCCGCGGUAAUACGUAGGUGGCAAGGGUUGUGCGGAUUCACUGGGUGUAAAGGGUGCGCAGGGGGAGGUGCAAGUCAGGGGUAAAAUUGCGGGGCUAAACCACGUACUGCCGUUGAAACUGCAUCCCUUGAGUGCGCGAGAAGUAUGCGGAAUGCGUGGUGUAGCGGUGAAAUGCAUAGAUAUCACGCAGAACUCCGAUUGCGAAGGCAGCAUACCGGCGCGCAACUGACGCUCAUGCACGAAAGCGUGGGUAUCGAACAGGAUUAGAUCCCCUGUAGUC